rnacentral:tRNA from 1 species
GCGGACGUGGCGGAACUUGGUAGACGCGCCGGUCUCAGGAACCGGUUCUUCGGAGUGUGGGUUCGAUCCCCUCCGUCCGCACCA